GUCGAAUUAGAUCAGUGGACAGAUCGUCUGGCUUCGAACCAGAAGGUCGUGGGUUCAAUCCCCACAUUCGACU
rfam:Coccomyxa subellipsoidea C-169, whole genome shotgun sequence.